CUGGUUGAUCCUGCCGGACCCGACCGCUAUCGGGGUGGGGCUUAGCCAUGCGAGUCAAGCGCCCCAGGGACCCGCUGGGGUGCGGCGCACGGCUCAGUAACACGUGGCCAACCUACCCUCGGGAGGGGGAUAACCCCGGGAAACUGGGGCUAAUCCCCCAUAGGGGAAGGGUGCUGGAAGGCCCCCUCCCCGAAAAGAGCCACGUCCGGCACCCGGCGUGGCUCGCCCGAGGAUGGGGCUACGGCCCAUCAUGGUAGCUGGCGGGGUAACGGCCCGCCAGGCCGAAGACGGGUGGGGGCCGUGAGAGCGGGAGCCCCGAGAUGGGCACUGAGACAAGGGCCCAGGCCCUAUGGGGUGCAGCAGGCUCGAAUACUCCGCAAUGCGGUAACCCGCGACGGGGCCACCCCGAGUGCCGCCCGAUGAGGGCGGCUUUUCCCCCGUGUAAGGAGCGGGGGGAAUAAGCGGGGGGCAAGUCUGGUGUCAGCCGCCGCGGUAAUACCAGCUCCGCGAGUGGUUGGGGCGUUUACUGGGCCUAAAGCGCCCGUAGCCGGCCCGGUAAGUCACCCCUGAAAUCCAUGGGCUCAACCCAUGGGCCGGGGGUGAUACUGCCGGGCUUGGGGGUGGGAGAGGCCGAGGGUACUCCCGAGGUAGGGGCGAAAUCCGAUAAUCUCGGGAGGACCACCAGUGGCGGAAGCGCUCGGCUGGAACACGCCCGACGGUGAGGGGCGAAAGCUGGGGGAGCAAAGGGGAUUAGAUACCCCUGUAGUCCCAGCUGUAAACGAUGCGGGCUAGCUGUUGGGUGGGCUUAGUGCCCGCCCAGUGGCGUAGGGAAGCCGUUAAGCCCGCCGCCUGGGGAGUACGGCCGCAAGGCUGAAACUUAAAGGAGUUGGCGGGGGGGCACCACAAGGGGUGAAGCUUGCGGCUUAAUUGGAGUCAACGCCGGAAACCUCACCCGGGGCGACAGCAGGAUGAAGGCCAGGCUAACGACCUUGCCGGACGAGCUGAGAGGAGGUGCAUGGCCGUCGCCAGCUCGUGCCGUGAGGUGUCCAGUUAAGUCUGGCAACGAGCGCGACCCCCGCUCCCUGUUGCUACCCUACCCUUCGGGGUGGGGGGCACACAGGGAGGACUGCCGGCGUAAGCCGGAGGAAGGAGGGGGCCACGGCAGGUCAGUAUGCCCCGAAACCCCGGGGCUGCACGCGAGCUGCAAUGGCGGGGACAGCGGGUUCCGACCCCGAAAGGGGGAGGCAAUCCCGUAAACCCCGCCCCAGUAGGAAUCGAGGGCUGUAACUCGCCCUCGUGAACGUGGAAUCCCUAGUAACCGCGUGUCACCAACGCGCGGUGAAUACGUCCCUGCCCCUUGCACACACCGCCCGUC
rnacentral:rRNA from 1 species